GGCCUGCAUGGAGCGCAGGUUCAGCUCCUCGAGCUUGCCGCGCCCGAUGAGGUAGCGCGGGUCGGCCUCGCGGCGCAUCU
rnacentral:tRNA from 1 species